GAUCUCAGAAUGAGCUGAAGAUCAGUGUCCCAAGUGUGACAGGGUAAACUCCCAAGAAGGUCCAUUGAGAGCCUCAAACCAUGUGUCUCCCGGGAAGUGACCUGAGCAGAAGAAAGAGCCCAGAUAAAAGAAGGGGAAGAGAAACACAGAAGAGCUCCUCACAGGACCACAUCAUGGGAGCUGAGCUUCCUCAGAGCCUUGCUGCUUCUAAGAUCCAGGUAAUAUCUUACCUUCCAGCCCAUGGAGGAAGGCCCAGCAAUGACAGAGCCCUAUGAGAAAAGAGUGCCAGUUGUAAAAGGUCUUAAUGUGCUGGAAGUCUGCCAUCCUCACCCUGAGAUCAGGGACCACCUGGACAGCAGCCUUUGCUGUGUGCAACCCCAGCCUGGCUCUCUGUGUCUUAUCUUCUGUUGCAACCUCCAGACCUCGAGAGAGAAGUAUUCAUUUGCUUCCAACCUGCCUCCCCCUGAGUAUCAACACUGCAUUGAACCCGGAGGGAGGGAAUCUCCCAAAGGCUGUCAUCUGCGUAGCCCCUAUGCUCACCCUGGCCUACCCUUUUAUGACCUCCUCAAAAUGAGUUCUGUGUGUUUGUCCAGAAAAGAUUACAGAUCUGAGGGUGCAUCCAGGAAUUGGCUGGCACAGAGCUCCUGAUGGUCCUUCCCAGGACUUCACUUAGUAAGGUUCCCGUUGCUAAGCAACAGAAAUGCUGGAACUGGCAUCAGUCAUCUGUCAUCCAGGAGCCCAGGUCAUAGGC
rnacentral:lncRNA from 1 species